UGAGGAAUAUUGGUCAAUGGGCGAGAGCCUGAACCAGCCAAGUCGCGUGAGGGAAGACGGUCCUAUGGAUUGUAAACCUCUUUUGCCGGGGAGCAAGAAGAUCACGUGUGAUCUCAGGCGAGAGUACCCGGAGAAAAGCAUCGGCUAACUCCGUGCCAGCAGCCGCGGUAAUACGGAGGAUGCGAGCGUUAUCCGGAUUUAUUGGGUUUAAAGGGUGCGUAGGCGGACUUUUAAGUCAGCGGUAAAACUUGAGGGGCUCAACCCCUUCCCCGCCGUUGAAACUGGGAGUCUUGAGUGGGCGAGAAGUAUGCGGAAUGCGUGGUGUAGCGGUGAAAUGCAUAGAUAUCACGCAGAACCCCGAUUGCGAAGGCAGCAUACCGGCGCCCAACUGACGCUGAAGCACGAAAGCGUGGGGAUCAAACAGGAUUAGAUACC
rnacentral:rRNA from 1 species